CCUGCAUGUAAUGGAGGAUGUCAGAAAUGGCUCUACUUUUUCUCCCACCAGUUUUUCUACUUUGAUCAUCAGAUGUCAUUUCCUGACCUCUGGAUACCAACCUGGGUGAAGCUCAACACUUUCAAGUAACUUCCGGAUGAUAAAAUUUCCUUUUGGUGAUUAAGAUUCAGUGUAAACAUCCAAGGGAUCAGCAACAUCAUGUAGAACCUGGUUAGAAAUGCAGAGCCUCAAGCUUCACUUCUGACCAACAAAAUGGGAAUCAGCUUUCUACCAUGAUCAUCAAUUGAUUCAUUUGCAGAUUAAAGUUUGAGAAGUCCUGACCUAAAGGUGUAGGAACCUGUAGAAGAAAGUAUAGGAACCUAAGGCUAGCAUCUGAGGAGCUGUCACCCCACCUCACCAUGAUAAAACAUGGGAAGAAAAUGUUACAGACACUUGGAAGGAAGAGAAUUGCAAAGCAGCUGUCUGGGUCAGGCCUUCCCAAUCUGAAGCCAGGGAGCACAGGAGCUUGAUCACGUUGUCUAAAGGCCAGCCUCAGAAGAAGAGUGGAAAGCUGGCCUGGAAGGAUAAAUGAAGACAUCUGUAGCACAGGCUACUAAGAAUAAAUUCUAGAGAUUGAAUGUUGAAACAGUGUUCUCCUGCCACUUAGAAUGUG